ensembl:snRNA U6 U6 spliceosomal RNA
GUGCUCACUUCGGCAGCACAUAUACUAAAAUUAGAACGAUACAGAAAAGAUUAGCAUGGGACCUGCACAUGAAUGACACGCAAAUUUGUAAAGCAUUCCAUAUUUUU